rnacentral:rRNA from 1 species
UACGUAGGUGGCAAGCGUUGUCCGGAAUUAUUGGGCGUAAAGCGCGCGCAGGCGGUUCCUUAAGUCUGAUGUGAAAGCCCCCGGCUCAACCGGGGAGGGUCAUUGGAAACUGGGGAACUUGAGUGCAGGAGAGGAAAGCGGAAUUCCACGUGUAGCGGUGAAAUGCGUAGAGUAUGUGGAGGAACACCAGUGGCGAAGGCGGCUUUCUGGUCUGUAACUGACGCUGAGGCGCGAAAGCGUGGGGAGCAAACAGG